rnacentral:rRNA from 1 species
UGGGGAAUUUUGGACAAUGGGCGAAAGCCUGAUCCAGCAAUGCCGCGUGUGUGAAGAAGGCCUUCGGGUUGUAAAGCACUUUUGCCCGGAAAGAAAUCCUUGGCUCUAAUACAGUCGGGGGAUGACGGUACCGGAAGAAUAAGCACCGGCUAACUACGUGCCAGCAGCCGCGGUAAUACGUAGGGUGCAAGCGUUAAUCGGAAUUACUGGGCGUAAAGCGUGCGCAGGCGGUUUGCUAAGACCGAUGUGAAAUCCCCGGGCUCAACCUGGGAACUGCAUUGGUGACUGGCAGGCUAGAGUAUGGCAGAGGGGGGUAGAAUUCCACGUGUAGCAGUGAAAUGCGUAGAGAUGUGGAGGAAUACCGAUGGCGAAGGCAGCCCCCUGGGCCAAAUACUGACGCUCAUGCACGAAAGCGUGGGGAGCAAACAGGAUUAGAUACCCUGGUAGUCCACGCCCUAAAACGAUGUCAACUAGUUGUUGGGGAUUCAUUUCCUUAGUAACGUAGCUAACGCGUGAAGUUGACCGCCUGGGGAGUACGGUCGCAAGAUUAAAACUCAAAUGAAUUGACGGGGUCAUAGCUGUUUCCU